rfam:Melioribacter roseus P3M, complete genome.
GGAAAGGUGCAGGAGUGGUUGAACUGGCACGCCUGGAGAGCGUGUAACCGCUUACGCGGUUCGUGGGUUCGAAUCCCACCCUUUCCG